rnacentral:lncRNA from 1 species
UUUAAUAAACCUAGAUUUAACAAGGAACAUGAAGUAAAAAAGACUAAAGAUAAUUCCGAUCAUUUUCGAAACUAGUAAAAAAAACUACAAAAAGCAAGCAAAAAAAAAAAGCGAAGCUCAAUCUCCAAUUAAAUAAAUGUUGAAUGAUGAAACUAAAAAAAAUAAGAUUAAAAAAACAAACUUGAACGAAUCUACUAAACCUAUAUAAUCUCUCAAACUCAC